rnacentral:rRNA from 1 species
UACGUAGGGUGCGAGCGUUGUCCGGAAUUACUGGGCGUAAAGAGCUCGUAGGCGGUUUGUCGCGUCUGCUGUGAAAACCUAAGGCUCAACCUUGGGCUUGCAGUGGGUACGGGCAGACUAGAGUGCGGUAGGGGUGACUGGAAUUCCUGGUGUAGCGGUGGAAUGCGCAGAUAUUAGGAGGAACACCGAUGGCGAAGGCAGGUCACUGGGCCGCAACGUGACGCUGAGGAGCGAAAGCAUGGGGAGCGAACAGG